rnacentral:rRNA from 1 species
GUAGGGUGCAAGCGUUGUCCGGAAUUGUUGGGCGUAAAGAGCUCGUAGGCGGUUUGUUGCGUCGGCUGUGAAAUCCCGAGGCUCAACCUCGGGUCUGCAGUCGAUACGAGCAAACUAGAGUGUUGCAGGGGAGACUGGAAUUCCUGGUGUAGCGGUGAAAUGCGCAGAUAUCAGGAGGAACACCGGUGGCGAAGGCGGGUCUCUGGGCAACAACUGACGCUGAGGGGCGAAAGCGUGGGGAGCGAACAGGAUUAGAUACCCUGGUAGUCCACGCCGUAAACGUUGGGCGCUAGGUGUGGGGCUCACUCCACGAGUUCCGUGCCGCAGCUAACGCAUUAAGCGCCCCGCCUGGGGAGUACGGCCGCAAGGCUA